AUGAACAACGAUAUCAAGAGUUUCGAGUAUUUCCUUCAUUUUGUUGCAUACGAUUCAACUCAGAUUGGAGCUAUUGGUUUUGGGCUGUCUCAAAACAGUCAUAGCUUCGAUUUGUCCAUUGCAACUUUUGAGAAAUCAAAUUGUUUGCUCCGCAAUGUCUUGAUGUCAGGGUUUGUUGAUCCUAUUUUCUUAGGGAUCUGUGUACAACAUGAGAAAUUUCGGACAGCAUGUGUUCGGGGAAAUGUUUUCUAUAAUCUUCUAUCAAAGAUUAAAUUGGAAAAGCUUUUUGGGGCUUUCUUGUGGUUAAAGUACUCCUCUGUAUUAGGAUGA